UGCAAGUCGAACGAUGAAGCCCCAGCUUGCUGGGGUGGAUUAGUGGCGAACGGGUGAGUAACACGUGAGCAACCUGCCCCUGACUCUGGGAUAAGCGCUGGAAACGGCGUCUAAUACCGGAUAUGCACUGUAGCCGCAUGGUUUGCAGUGGGAAAGAUUUAUCGGUUGGGGAUGGGCUCGCGGCCUAUCAGCUUGUUGGUGAGGUAAUGGCUCACCAAGGCGUCGACGGGUAGCCGGCCUGAGAGGGUGACCGGCCACACUGGGACUGAGACACGGCCCAGACUCCUACGGGAGGCAGCAGUGGGGAAUAUUGCACAAUGGGCGCAAGCCUGAUGCAGCAACGCCGCGUGAGGGAUGACGGCCUUCGGGUUGUAAACCUCUUUUAGCAGGGAAGAAGCCUUCGGGUGACGGUACCUGCAGAAAAAGCGCCGGCUAACUACGUGCCAGCAGCCGCGGUAAUACGUAGGGCGCAAGCGUUAUCCGGAAUUAUUGGGCGUAAAGAGCUCGUAGGCGGUUUGUCGCGUCUGCUGUGAAAACUGGAGGCUCAACCUCCAGCCUGCAGUGGGUACGGGCAGACUAGAGUGCGGUAGGGGAGAUUGGAAUUCCUGGUGUAGCGGUGGAAUGCGCAGAUAUCAGGAGGAACACCGAUGGCGAAGGCAGAUCUCUGGGCCGUUACUGACGCUGAGGAGCGAAAGGGUGGGGAGCAAACAGGCUUAGAUACCCUGGUAGUCCACCCCGUAAACGUUGGGAACUAGUUGUGGGGGCCUUUCCACGGUCUCUGUGACGCAGCUAACGCAUUAAGUUCCCCGCCUGGGGAGUACGGCCGCAAGGCUAAAACUCAAAGGAAUUGACGGGGACCCGCACAAGCGGCGGAGCAUGCGGAUUAAUUCGAUGCAACGCGAAGAACCUUACCAAGGCUUGACAUAUACGAGAACGCUGCAGAAAUGUAGAACUCUUUGGACACUCGUAUACAGGUGGUGCAUGGUUGUCGUCAGCUCGUGUCGUGAGAUGUUGGGUUAAGUCCCGCAACGAGCGCAACCCUCGUUCUCUGUUGCCAGCACGUUAUGGUGGGAACUCAGGGGAUACUG
rnacentral:rRNA from 1 species